rnacentral:rRNA from 1 species
UAGCUAGUUGGUGAGGUAAAGGCUUACCAAGGCGACGAUCUGUAGCGGGUCUGAGAGGAUGAUCCGCCACACUGGAACUGAGACACGGUCCAGACUCCUACGGGAGGCAGCAGUGGGGAAUUUUGGACAAUGGGGGCAACCCUGAUCCAGCCAUGCCGCGUGAGUGAAGAAGGCCUUCGGGUUGUAAAGCUCUUUCGGCCGGGAAGAAAUCGCAUGGGCCAAUACCCUGUGUGGAUGACGGUACCGGAAUAAGAAGCACCGGCUAACUACGUGCCAGCAGCCGCGGUAAUACGUAGGGCGCGAGCGUUAAUCGGAAUUACUGGGCGUAAAGCGUGCGCAGGCGGUUUUGUAAGACAGGCGUGAAAUCCCCGGGCUUAACCUGGGAACUGCGUUUGUGACUGCAAGGCUAGAGUACGGCAGAGGGGGGUGGAAUUCCACGUGUAGCAGUGAAAUGCGUAGAGAUGUGGAGGAACACCAAUGGCGAAGGCAGCCCCCUGGGUCGAUACUGACGCUCAUGCACGAAAGCGUGGGUAGCAAACAGGAUUAGAUACCCUGGUAGUCCACGCCCUAAACUAUGUCAACUAGGUGUUGGGUGGGUAAACCAUUUAGUACCGUAGCUAACGCGUGAAGUUGACCGCCUGGGGAGUACGGCCGCAAGGUUAAAACUCAAAGGAAUUGACGGGGACCCGCACAAGCGGUGGAUGAUGUGGAUUAAUUCGAUGCAACGCGAAAAACCUUACCUACCCUUGACAUGCCAGGAACUUGCCAGAGAUGGCUUGGUGCCCGAAAGGGAGCCUGGACACAGGUGCUGCAUGGCUGUCGUCAGCUCGUGUCGUGAGAUGUUGGGUUAAGUCCCGCAACGAGCGCAACCCUUGUCGUUAAUUGCCAUCAUUUGGUUGGGCACUUUAACGAGACUGCCGGUGACAAACCGGAGGAAGGUGGGGAUGACGUCAAGUCCUCAUGGCCCUUAUGGGUAGGGCUUCACACGUCAUACAAUGGUCGGUACAAAGGGUUGCCAAGCCGCGAGGCGGAGCCAAUCCCAGAAAGCCGAUCGUAGUCCGGAUUGCAGGCUGCAACUCGCCUGCAUGAAGUCGGAAUCGCUAGUAAUCGUGGAUCAGCAUGUUACGGUGAAUACGUUCCCGGGUCUUGUACACACCGCCCGUCACACCAUGGGAGCGGGCUCCGCCAGAAGUAGGUAGCCUAACCGCAAGGGGGGCGCUUACCACGGCGGGGUUCGUGACUGGGGUGAAGUCGAAACAAGGUAGCCGUAGGGGAACCUGCGGCUG